GGAUAGCCACUGGAAAUGGUGGGUAAUACCGUAUAAUCCCCGCGGGGGAAAGAUUUAUCGCUAUUAGAUGAGCCUAUGUCGGAUUAGCUAGUUGGUGGGGUAAUGGCCUACCAAGGCAGUGAUCUGUAGCUGGUCUGAGAGGAUGAUCAGCCACACUGGAACUGAGACACGGUCCAGACUCCUACGGGAGGCAGCAGUGGGGAACAUUGGACAAUGGGCGCAAGCCUGAUCCAGCUAUGCCGCGUGAGUGAGGAAGGCCUUAGGGUUGUAAAACUCUUUCAGUAGGGAAGAUAAUG
rnacentral:rRNA from 1 species